rnacentral:rRNA from 1 species
AUGGGCGCAAGCCUGACGGAGCAACGCCGCGUGGGGGAUGACACCUUUCGGGGCGUAAACCCCUUCCUCUUGGGGACGAAGCAGUGACGGUACCCGAGGAAGAAGGCCCGGCUAACUACGUGCCAGCAGCCGCGGUAAUACGUAGGGGCCGAGCGUUGUCCGGAGUUACUGGGCGUAAAGCGCGCGCAGGCGGCUCGUCAAGCCUGACGUGAAAGCCCCCGGCUCAACCGGGGAGGGUCGUCGGGGACUGGCGGGCUUGAGGUCGGCAGGGGUUGGUGGAAUUCCCGGUGUAGUGGUGAAAUGCGUAGAGAUCGGGAGGAACACCCGUGGCGAAGGCGGCCAACUGGGCCGGACCUGACGCUGAGGCGCGAAGGCGUGGGGAGCGAACGGGAUUAGAUACCCCGGUAGUCCACGCAGUAAACGAUGCAGACUAGGCGUGGGGGGACUUGACCCCCUCCGUGCCGCAGCUAACGCGUGAAGUCUGCCGCCUGGGGAGUACG